CACACAAGGCAAGCGGUGAAGUCAUCAAGGUCAAGUGUUAGCGUCCUUUAUUUUUUUUCAACAUUUCACACGAACGGUAGUUAACUUCUUUCCAAAAAUGGAUGAUGGCCGAGCAAUGUCUUCAGCUACGCAUCCAUUACACGGAAGCCAUUUUAUUGUGGGAAGACGUUGACGCGGAACACGUCGGAGCUUCGACGUGAUGUUCUACUUUUGCACGUUGCUUCGCAAGUCAACGCUUGAACCUGCAACUCUGUCGCUGGUAAAUAUUGGAUUCAUCUGCUAUUCUACUUGGUGCUCAUGGGAAUAUUUUAGCACACAAGCGCACACGCACACACACCCAAAGUGGUCCCCGCAUCACCACUUCCACUCGGAAGCGAGCGAAACAGAAGCUGGAAGUUUACUGUGCCCGGUUUCCUGGAUCAAAGAAAAGGAUGAAGAUGAAGAGGAGAGUUUGGAGACGGAUGAUGAAGUUUUGGUGAAGGUUGCGCCAACAACCAAAAAAAAAGAGUGUCUAUCGCCAUGUCCAAAUGUUGCGUGUCAACGUGGGGCACCAUGCAAAAAUCCACCUUCAACCUGCAGGCCUUUCUUUCUCACAUCCCAGCACAUCACCCCCCACCCCCUUUCUAUUCAUAGGGCCUUCAAAACAGGAAAGACUUCCUGCAACUCAUUUUAGGAAAAACAAGCAGCUCAAACAAUCAGGCAAACCAAGCAGCACUGCGCUUGACAACGCCGAGAGCGGCAAUAAAGUAAAUGUGACCGCGUGGAGGAGACAUAAAAGGAUGCUGAAAUCGCAGCCCUCGUACAAACCUACUGCAAACGUGUAAGCAGUAGAAAUCCAGAUGAUGCUUCCUUGAUCAACCAACGAAUCAUCACCCAAGUAGAAUUCUCUCCGCUUCUUCUUGCUGCGGACGAUGAGAAUUUAAAUGAAAUGUUUAGCGCAAAGAAAUGUUUGCUUCAUGACGAGGCACAAGGGUGUUCAUCGUCAUUUCAAUUAAACCACAAUGCUAAUGUUGAGGAA